rnacentral:rRNA from 1 species
UACGGAGGGUGCAAGCGUUGUUCGGAAUCAUUGGGCGUAAAGCGCGUGUAGGCGGUCUUCUAAGUCUGAUGUGAAAGCCCGGAGCUUAACUUCGGAACUGCAUUGGAUACUGGAAGACUAGAGGAUGGAAGAGGAUGGUGGAAUUCCCGGUGUAGCGGUGAAAUGCGUAGAGAUCGGGAGGAACAUCAGUGGCGAAGGCGGCCAUCUGGGACAACACUGACGCUGAAGCACGAAAGCGUGGGGAGCAAACAGG